UAAGGCGUGACUCCUUGCUGUCGACGCAUAGUCUUCGCUGAGUUCACAGCAAGAACAUUCAACAUGAAGCUGAUCUCGAUGGCUCUGGCCCUGGUGGUGGCCCUGGCAUGCCUGGUGAGCUGGACCAGCGCCAUGCCUCAGCCUGACCCCGUGGCUGACCCUGACCCCGCGGCUGACCCUGGCUUCCGUCGCUUCGGUGGAUUGGGAUAUGGUGGAUACGGCUACGGAGGUCGUGGCUACGGGGGCUACGGCUACGGAGGAUAUCGCGGUGGCUUUUACGGAUAAAGAUAUCCUACUUCCCGCUUUUUGAAAAGAACAUCCUAAACAAUGCUACAUGAACUUAACUUCCUGUUUUUCUUCUCAAAUAAACUUCAUGAAUCAAU